rnacentral:rRNA from 1 species
AUUGAACGCUGGCGGCAGGCCUAACACAUGCAAGUCGAACGAGUGGCGGACGGGUGAGUAAUGUCUGGGAAACUUCCUGAUGGAGGGGGAUAACUACUGGAAACGGUAGCUAAUACCGCAUACCAUCGGAUGUGCCCAGAUGGGAUUAGCUAGUAGUUGGGGUAAAGGCUCACCUAGGCGACGAUCCCUAGCUGGUCCGAGAGGAGGACCAGCCAAACUGGAACUGAGACAGGGUCAAGACUCCUACGGGAGGCAGAGGGGGGGAAUAUUGGAAAAUGGGCGAAAGCCUGAUGCGGCCAUGCCGCGUGUAGGAAGAAGGCCUUGGGGUGGUAAAGUCCUUUCAGCGGGGAGGCGUUACCCGCAGAAGAAGCACCGGCUAACUCCGUGCCAGCAGCCGCGGUAAUAC